UCAGGGUAAACCUGAGAAACCCGAAAGGUCGAAUGGGGAAAUUCAUUCGCGUUUCGGCCGUCGGCGGCGAGUGGUCGAGUGACGGAUGGCGUCCGCGUCGUCCGCGCCUUCCGCUCGUCGAACCGGCGUCGAACGCGUGCACUUUUCCCCUAGUAGGACGUCGCGAUCCGUUGGGUGUCGGUCUACGGCCCGUGGUGGAGCCCGUAUGGACGUUUCGGCGUUCCGUGCGGACCCGCGGUGUCCCGGCCGACUCGCUCGACGGUAUACAGAUGGCGCGGGGCCGCUACUUUAGUUAGCGUUCGGCCUGCGGCAAGCGCGUCCGGUGCGACGGCGAUCGGACCUAGUGCCGGUUCUGUCCCCGGGCGACUGUUGGCCGCGGUGUUCUCGAACAGACCCCGUUGAAACGCCGAUCUGCGACGCUAUAGCUUUGGGUACUUUCAGGACYCGUCUUGAA
rnacentral:rRNA from 1 species